rnacentral:rRNA from 1 species
CCUACGGGCGGCUGCAGUAAGGAAUCUUCCGCAAUGCACGAAAGUGUGACGGAGCGACGCCGCGUGUGGGAUGAAGUUCUUCGGAAUGUAAACCACUGUCAGGGGUUAGAAAGUUCUGAUCAACCCCAGAGGAAGGCACGGCUAACUCUGUGCCAGCAGCCGCGGUAAGACAGAGGUGCCAAGCGUUAGGCGGAAUCACUGGGCUUAAAGCGUGUGUAGGCGGAUUGACAAGUACCUUGUGAAAUCCCACGGCUUAACCGUGGAACUGCUUGGUAUACUGUCUGUCUUGAGCUAUCUAGAGGCAACUGGAACAAACGGUGGAGCGGUGAAAUGCGUAGAUAUCGUUUGGAAUGCCAAAGGUGAAAACAGGUUGCUGGGGAUAUACUGACGCUGAGACACGAAAGCCAGGGGAGCAAACGGGAUUAGAUACCCCAGUAGUC